GGUCCGUUGGCGCAGGGGUCAGCGCGCUCGUUCUGCGUCAUCCUUUGUGAAUAAUCCAGGCUUAUUCACAAGGGUUGUUUUAGCGAGAGGUCGUGGGUUCGAAUCCCACAUGGGCUA